rnacentral:rRNA from 1 species
AACGAACGCUGGCGGCAGGCCUAACACAUGCAAGUCGAGCGAGAUCUUCGGAUCUAGCGGCGGACGGGUUAGUAACGCGUGGGAAUAUACCCUUUGGUACGGAAUAGCCCUGGGAAACUGGGAGUAAUACCGUAUGUGCCCUUCGGGGAAAGAUUUAUCGCCAAAGGAUUAGCCCGCGUUGGAUUAGAUAGUUGGUGGGGUAAUGGCCUACCAAGUCGACGAUCCAUAGCUGGUUUGAGAGGAUGAUCAGCAACACUGGGACUGAGACACGGCCCAGACUCCUACGGGAGGCAGCAGUGGGGAAUCUUAGACAAUGGGCGCAAGCCUGAUCUAGCCAUGCCGCGUGGACGAUGAAGGCCUUUAGGGUUAGUAAAGUCCUUUCAGCGUGGGAAGAUAAUAGACGGUACCAGCAGAAGAACGCCCGGCUAACUCCGUGCCAGCAGCCGACGGUAAAGUCUGUACU